rnacentral:rRNA from 1 species
UGGCUCCUACGGGGCGCAGCAGUAGGGAAUAUUACUCAAUGGGGGAAACCCUGGAGCAGCAACGCCGCGUGGAGGAUGAAGGUUUUCGGAUUGUAAACUCCUUUUGUUAGAGAAGAUAAUGGCGGUAUCUAACGAAUAAGCACCGGCUAACUCCGUGCCAGCAGCCGCGGUAAUACGGAGGGUGCAAGCGUUACUCGGAAUCACUGGGCGUAAAGAGCGCGGAGGCGGGAUAGCAAGGCAGAUGUGAAAUCCUAUGGCUUAACCAUAGAACUGCAUUUUAAACUGUUUUUCUAGAGUAUGG